GAGUUUGAUCUUGGCUCAGAGUGAACGCUGGCGGCAGGCCUAACACAUGCAAGUCGAACGGCAGCGCAGCAGUAGCAAUACUGUGGGCGGCGAGUGGCGGACGGGUGAGGAAUACAUCGGAAUCUACCUUGUCGUGGGGGAUAACGUAGGGAAACUUACGCUAAUACCGCAUACGACCUACGGGUGAAAGCGGCGGACCGCAAGGCGUCGCGCGAUUGGAUGAGCCGAUGUCCGAUUAGCUAGUUGGCGGGGUAAGAGCCCACCAAGGCGACGAUCGGUAGCUGGUCUGAGAGGAUGAUCAGCCACACUGGAACUGAGACACGGUCCAGACUCCUACGGGAGGCAGCAGUGGGGAAUAUUGGACAAUGGGCGCAAGCCUGAUCCAGCCAUGCCGCGUGUGUGAAGAAGGCCUCGGUU
rnacentral:rRNA from 1 species